GAUCCUGGCUCAGGAUGAACGCUAGCGACAGGCUUAACACAUGCAAGUCGAGGGGCAGCAUGAGGUAGCAAUACCUUGAUGGCGACCGGCGCACGGGUGAGUAACGCGUAUGCAACCUGCCCGAUACCGGGGUAUAGCCCAUGGAAACGUGGAUUAACACCCCAUAGUACUUUUAUCCUGCAUGGGACGUGAGUUAAAUGUUCAAGGUAUCGGAUGGGCAUGCGUCCUAUUAGUUAGUUGG
rnacentral:rRNA from 1 species